rnacentral:rRNA from 1 species
UACGAAGGGGGCUAGCGUUGCUCGGAAUCACUGGGCGUAAAGGGUGCGUAGGCGGGUUUUUAAGUCAGGGGUGAAAUCCUGGAGCUCAACUCCAGAACUGCCUUUGAUACUGAAGAUCUUGAGUCCGGAAGAGGAGAGUGGAAUUCCCGGUGUAGCGGUGAAAUGCGCAGAUAUCGGGAAGAACACCCGUGGCGAAGGCGGCUCUCUGGGACGGUACUGACGCUGAGACGCGAAAGCGUGGGGAGCAAACAGG